rnacentral:lncRNA from 1 species
AAUAGAAGAAAAAACAACACGUGUAUUUUGGGUUUGAUCACACUGAUGUAAUCUGGUGUAAUGAGAGAAAUGUAAUCUUUUGAAGAAUAUUUGAAAAACAGCGCUUAAAGACAGAUGAUCUGAAUUAUGUGUCCAUAUAAAAAAGAAGAUGUUGUAUGAUUGUCAAUGAGACAACUCUCCACAAAAGACCAAAUGACACAGAAAUUAACAACUAUAGGUCACCGUACGGCCUUCAACAAUGAGCAAAGC